GGGUUUGUAGUGGAAACUUAAGACAUUAGAUUGCAAAUCUGAAAAUGUAUAAUUAUACCAAACCUU
rnacentral:tRNA from 1 species